UCUUCGCUCUUUCUUUCUCCCACGGACGCCUCUGUUCCUCUUUUGCUACUUGUUCCGCCAGUCCACGACACAAUCCAUGACACCUCCUGGUUGCUACACGAUGGUAGUAGCCCGCGCUGUUGUCCCGCUUCCAAUCAAAUUGCGCCUCAAACCAAGGGGACAGGGAGGGGGGAGAAUGGUAGCUGUGGGGAAGAGGGGGCGGCGACGCCGUGCGGUGAGCUGGGAAGAGGGGACAGGCCACUUUGUUUCUGCCGGAGUUGAUGACGGGACUGCAGAAAUGCUGCAUCCCGCCAUGGAUUUUGCUGGAGCUGGCAUUUUGCAAUGCUAGAAUGACGGACGGCGUUAUCAGCAACGGGAGUUGUUCUUUUACAGGAACCAACCUAAUUUCUUUUUGCUACUACUAACUUCGUUUUUUGCUGGAACUUGCAUCCGUUUUUGCUACCACCGGCUCAUUUUUUUCCUGGAAUCAGCUGGUCUUUUUGCUACCAUCAUUUUUGGAUUUUGCUAGAACCAGCUAUUCUUUUGCUACCACCGGCUUUGUAUUUUGCUGGAACUAGCAUCCAUUUUUGCUACAACCGUAUGAUGUUUGUGCUGGAUCCGUGUAUUUUUGCUACCACCGUCUAUUUAUUUUGCUGGAACCGGCCCAGUUUUUUGCUACCACCGGCUUUGGCGGCAAGUCACACCAUCUCGCCAUUAAAGCUGCAACCGUGAGUCGGCAGCACCGGCGAGGAACGGUUUGUGGCCAACGCCAUGGUGGGGCUACCAUGGAUGCAGGAAAGGCGACGAAAAAGCUGCUAUGGGUCAACGAAUUUUUGUUGCGAUUGACGACAGCGAGCGUCGGCGGCGAGCUUCUCCGGCGAGCAUAGGAGCCGAGGAAAACCGGCGAGGACGGGAACGCGCGUUGAGGGACGCGGGAGGAUACAUGGGAGGGGGGGGCAUGUUUUUCUUAGUGGGGAUGCGAAGGUUGAGAAAGACGAUGGAGAACAAAUAGAUGGAACAGUUACACGCUCUGGGAUCCAAGGGCUGCGCGUCGACCGGCCCAAUUUGGGCCGGUCGACCGGCACGUAUCAGUCGCCAUAUUAAAUGAUGUGCUACUUUGUGUCAUGCAUGGCAAUAAAUGUAGUCAUCUAUCAUACCAAUAUAUGAUACUGUGCAUUAUGGAUGUAGUAUCAUACAUUAAUAUCAUAUGCAUGAUACUAGUAUAUGAUACUCACCAUUAAAACCAGCCUUAACUUGUUCUCUGUUUCCCAUGCUGCAGGAGAUGCUAGUGAUGUUCACUUUUGAGUUGGUAAAAUUUCUAACCGCAGAAGGAAAUCAUUUUGGCGUGGUGAGGUGAGAUUUGCUUGGCUGUUAUAGAUUUGAACUGUAUGUUGAUCUCUUUUAUGAGCUGUUUUAGCAAUUGAAUGUUUCUGUUUUCAACAGAGUUUGUUUCACUCUUAGUAAUGCAGCAGUAGAACUUGCUGACUGUGUGACUGAGAUUUAUAGUCUAAUUCAGCUGGUGAUUUGCAUACAGAAAUUAAGCAGGGGUAAAUUGAUACUUCUCAAGGACUUAUUUUGGUGCUUAUACCGUAGUUAGCCAGUCCUCUGCUUUUAUAGUAUUGUUUGUAAUGCUCUGCAAAGUCGUCGUCGCGGUCACCGCUGCAGUGGGAAGCUGCCACCGAUGACCAUAUCCCACCAAGAGCCCUAUUUCUCUGCUAUGCCUGUAUUGCUUAGAUUGUAAGUUGUUUGUUCAAUUAAUUGACAUGAAGCACCUGUUGCUCUGUUAGUAGCUGUUAAUAAGCACUUCUGCAGUGUGUGUAACUAGGGGACACUAGCAACUUCUAUAGAGUAGAUCAAAUUGCAUGCAUUUGGAUACUGUUUAGCUAACUAGCACAACAGGAGUCGAUGGGUUCGACCGUGCUGAUCUGUUCCAUGUAAACAGUGCCUAUCUGCUUGAUAAUCUGAUAGGUUAGCUAUUUAACCAUGCUGCUAAAUGGGCCAAUAGCUCCUGUGCGACGUUUUUGAGGUGAAUUGGCAAGAGUGCGACGUUGUUCGAGCGAAUGGCUGUGGUGCGACACAUUUGAGCAGGUAAAUAGCCCACAUACGACAUGGCUGUUAAACUCAACCGAUGCCCUCGUUACCUAUUGGGGGCUGGACCCACCACUUAUCCACGCAAGCGCGGGACCCACCAUUUGUCUAUUCGCGGGACCCACCUCCUCGCAGCUAGAAGAGAUGAGCGCCCGUGCCCGUCCGCCCGCCGCCGCCCAUUCAUCCCCUUUCCCCAAUCUUUCUCUUCUCCGGCGACCUAGCGCAAAUGUCUACCUCCUCCGCCGCGCACUCAAAAUGACGACAGUAUGGACCAGUGCUGCUCACAAGGUUCCCUGACUGCCCACGCCCAGACCCUCUUAAAUGGUUGGUCACUAAGAGGGAUGACAAUGGCAAUCUUGGGCGGGAAUUUGUGAAAUGCUUGAGCAAACCAAUGACAGGAAGGGAUGGCAAGAUCUUGAAGAAAUGUUACCAUUUUGAGUGAAUUGAUGAAUAUGUUGAUAGGAUUCAGUUUGAGGGAUACAUUGAUUCGAGCGUGGCCGCAACCUGGGAGCUCAAUUUGGACGGGAUGCCGCCGAUUGCUGUGGAGAAUACGGUGAGCUCGGGUGGAGGGGCGGGCAGAGUCGUGCCGAUGGCGAUGUAUGCGCGCAAUGCUGAACUGCAUGCGGAGUCCGAACUGGCCGAGGAACUAAAGAAGAUCAAGAAACAUCUAAUGCAGAUGAUCGAUUUGCAGAAGCAAGCAAAUAUCAUGGCAGGGGUUCUAUUGUUGUAUCAUUGCUCUGUUUUUGUUUUAUUUGUUGUUCAUCCGUCAUUAAAAUGGGCAUUUAGGCCUGUCAGGGUAGAGGAUGUGAUCUGUGCACCAUGCCAAGUUAUGUAUCUGAAUUGAAGCAGCAAUUUGGAACACAAAUUAUUCAGUGUU